UGGGGGAUAUUGCACAAUGGGCGAAAGCCUGAUGCAGCGACGCCGCGUGGGGGAUGAAGGCCUUCGGGUUGUAAACUUCUUUUGCUCUGAACAAGGCGCACCAUGGGGUGUGUUGAGUGUAGGGGUUGAUUAGCGCCGGCUAACUACGUGCCAGCAGCCGCGGUAAUACGUAGGGCGCGAGCGUUGUCCGGAAUUAUUGGGCGUAAAGGGCUUGUAGGUGGCUGGUUGCGUCUGUCGUGAAAGCUCAUGGCUUAACUGUGGGUUUGCGGUGGGUACGGGCUGGCUUGAGUGCAGUAGGGGAGGCUGGAAUUCCUGGUGUAGCGGUGGAAUGCGCAGAUAUCAGGAGGAAUACCGGUGGGGAAGGCGGGUCUCUGGGCUGUUACUGACACUGAGGAGCGAAAGCAUGGGGAGCGAACAGG
rnacentral:rRNA from 1 species